rnacentral:rRNA from 1 species
UAGUUUUAUUAUAUUAUUUUAAUUAAGAUUACAAGAUAACAUAAAAAAUAAUAUUUGUUUAGUUGUAUAGUUAAGAUUAAUAAUAAUUUUAUUAUAGUGAAUUAAAGUAUCGUAAGAGAACUAUUUAAAAAUUUCUAUAGAAAUUUUUAAAUAGUUUACCUUUUGUAUCAGGAGUAAAUAAUUAAAAUAUUUAUUUUAUUAUUCUCGAAUUAAAAUUGAGCUAACCUAAUUUCUUUUUAUUGUUGCAAUAAUAAUUAAAAAAUUAGGUUAGAUGUGAAAUGCUAUUCGUAAUUUAAUAUAUCUAGUUUUAUUUUGUAAAGUUUAUCUUAUGAAGGAAUUAAGGGAUAAGUUUUAAUGAUUUAAUUUAUAAUUAAUUUUAAUUGUUACAAUUAUUGAAUUGAUAGUAUUAAUUAGUUUAAAUGUGUUUAUACUUAAUGUAUAUAAUGUAUAAUUUAUUUAAAGUAAAAAUUAUUUAUUAAUUAUUCUUAAUUAGUUAGAAUGUUUGUAUUAGUAUAAUUUAUUUUAUAAUUAUUAAAAAUUAUGAAUAUAAAUAAAGGAACUCGGCAAAAAUUUCCUUCGCCUGUUUAUCAAAAACAUGUCCUAUUGACAAUUAUAAUAGGUCGAACCUGCCCAAUGAUAGUAUUAAAUGGCCGCAGUAAAUUGACUGUGCAAAGGUAGCAUAAUAAUUUGUUUUUUAAUUGAAGACUGGAAUGAAUGGUUUGACGUAAGGAAAGCUGUCUUUAUUAUUAUGUUUGAAUUUUACUUUUAAGUUAAAAGGCUAAUUAAAUGUUAUUAAGGGACGAGAAGACCCCAUUAAGUUUAAUAGAUUUUUUAAUAAAUAUAUUUCUUAUAAUAUUUAUAAAUUUAUUUUUCUGGGGCGGAAAUUAAAUUAUUAUCUUUAGUUAAAUAUAAUAAUUUAUGAAUUUAUUUAUGAACUUUUAUUAAAAAUUUAAGAAAAAAUUACUAUGGGGGUAACAGCGUUAUUCUUUUGGAGAGUUCAUAUUAAUAAAAGAGAUUGCGACCUCGAUGUUGGAUUAAAUUUUUCUCAUAAUGAAGAAGUUAUGUUAAAUAGAUAAGUCUGUUCGACUUUAUAAAAUUACAUGAUCUGAGUUCAGACCGGCGUAAGCCAGGUCAGUUUCUAUCUUUAAUAAUUAGUUUUAUUUAUGUGUUUAGUACGAAAGGACCAAUAUAAUUAAAUUUUUUAAUGUUA